UACGAAGGGGGCGAGCGUUGUUCGGAUUUACUGGGCGUAAAGGGCGCGUAGGCGGCGGGUCAAGUCGAGUGUGAAAGCCCCGGGCUCAACCUGGGAGGUGCGCUCGAGACUGGUCUGCUAGAGUUCGGGAGAGGAGCGUGGAAUUCCCAGUGUAGAGGUGAAAUUCGUAGAUAUUCGGAGGAACACCAGUGGCGAAGGCGGCUCACUGGCUCGAUACUGACGCUGAGGUGCGAAAGCGUGGGGAGCAAACAGG
rnacentral:rRNA from 1 species